AUUUACCGACUGAGCCACCCAGGCACCCCUCAGUUUUGUUUUGUUUUUUAAAGAAAAAGCUCCCAGUUUGGAAGAGGGUUGAGAACAACUGGUCUAAAUUGAGUUUUAUUUACUCUUUACCCUAGCCUUGGCCCACUAUCCUGUGACUAGUUUUAAGAAGAGCUAGCUAACCUCAGACUUACCUUCUAAAUUAUGUUGCCAAUUGGCAAUUAAGGAAUUGGGGAGUCCAGGAAAAUAGCCCUUAAUGUUCCAAUUUGUAUAGUAAAACCAGCCAUGGUAAAUGAAAGGGGAUUCUCCUCUGUAUUUUUUUAAAUGGAAAGAAAAAAACACCUCUGCCCCUAACUCAUGUUUCCUGUGUUGAAUGAGAGGUAGACCAAGAAGUAUCAUCCACCCGUGAUGCAGUUUGUGUCUCUCCCCCCAGACAAUGUGUUGGUAACAAAAGUCAGCUUUCCCUAUAAUGCCUGCCUUUCCUGUGUCCCAGAAUAGCCUGUCGCCUAGGCCCAGCCAGUCCACUAGAGGAUGUGUAGAAUGUUAAAGUGGAAAGGGACCUGGAAGCUCAUUGAAUUCAGGCCUCUUGUUUAGCAGCAAGAAACCUGAGGUUCUGAGAGAUGGAGAAGGAUUGCUUCCAAUUGAAACCUCUUCAUUGUUAAUACAUUGCCUUCCCCUCCAUUGGCCCCCUAUCCUGCUGAUGUCUGUUUUUAAUAGUCUGAUUUUUAUCUGGCAGCAAGCAUUUUGCUUCCCAGAUUCCUGCUUGGAGAGGAGAGGCUCUCAGUUGGUCACCUUACAGAGCAGGUCUGUCAGCUUGAUGCAGGUGUGAGGCAGUCCUCACCACCAGGCUCUGCAGGUCAGCCUCAGGAGGAGGGCUUCAGGCGCCAGCUUCUGAUGAAAGUAAGGAGCUCCCCUGGCCCCAUUUAACACAGCUGCUGCUCCUUCAUCCCACAUCCCCGUACUGAGCCUUUUACAUGUCGUAUUCCACUUUGGCAAGAGCCUUCACAAACAUGCCAUUAACUGUAUGUACAGAUGCGAGUUGAAGCUGGUUGCUACACUACCUGGAAGGGUGAGGUUGAUGAGAGUAAUGGACCACUAUUUGACCCUAAAGGAGACGGGAGUUCUAGGAAAGAAAACUUGCCUGACACGACAGGUCUACAACUAAUCGCCAACAUGAAGGCCUGGCUCCUCUGACAGCUCUCUUUCUCACACAAACCUGCAUCCUGGUUUGUCUGGAGUCCAGUAUGUUUGGUCGGUAUGAAGUCAAGAGAUCAGUAUGCUGGGCACAGUAGCGGUGAGAAGUGGCCCCUGCAGUAUAGUGUUUUCGCCAAGGCAAUUACCAGAUGCCCAUCAUCCGCAUUAUUUCCCUCAUCCUCGCUGCAGCCCUCUCAGGCGGUGGAGUAGCCCUUUGUACAUGUGAGGAGAGGGAGGCUCAGGAGAGCCCCUUGCCACAGGUGACACAGCCAGGACUCAGACGAGAGUCACUCAGACGUGUGCAGCACAAAGCCGGCUCUUGGGAACAAAGGAACGGCGGGGGUGGGCCUCUUACCUGGCGGGCCCACCUUCACCUCGGUGCUGCGGCUGACUGCCUGGCUUCCGCGGUAGGCGCUGCAUGUGUAGGAGCCCUCGUCCCUGGGCUGCAAGUUGUGGAUCAGCAGUGUGCCAUCCGGGGACUGGUGGACGCGAUGCCCGUCAGCCCGCACUGGCAGCCCAUUCCUGGAGGGCAGAGAACACCAGGGAGAGAUGUCCACAGCCUCCAGUCUUGAUGCCCUAGGCGGCCAUGCUGCCACUCCCAGUGCCCCAAGGCCCAGAGACAAAGGAAGGAGGUGGUCGUUGUAGACAGAGGACCCUCACUUCAAGAAAGAGACGGGCCAGGGUGCCAAAAAGAACGCUAUUGGAGCAAAACAACUCAAAAGUAGAGGGAACUCACCCCAACUGAGCACACUGGUCUAAGUUACUGUGAAUUUGCCUCUUACCUACAAGGGAAGCCCUGCUCUCACUUUGUAUCAGCACGGGCUUUCCAGCAGCUGUGCAGUGCCAGACCCUGUGCUGGGCCUGCAACGCACGCGCUCCCUGCCUUGAGGGUACUGGGGUAGGGCACAGGUAUUUAGGGGCGCCUCCCCUGAGGAAGACCUAGUGGAGACCUGACUUGAGCAACUGGCCAGCAAACAGCAGGACCAGAAGACUCAGGAGCUGGAAGGUCAGAGCAGGGAGAGAAGUGGACAUGGCUUCAACAUGGGGGGACUGGCAGGGGUGUAAGCUGGGGCUAGGACAAAUGGCUCCUGCAGAAGUGCCCUUGUGGAUAAGGGGCAGAUGUGCAAGGUGAGGAGGAAGCAAUGAAGGACCACAGAGGUUGCCCAGGGUUGCUCGAUAAGUGCCCCUCCACCAUGGGGAGAUUCGGGUUGCGGAGGAUGGGUCAACAGUGAAUGCUCUAUUCCACCAUUUGGCAUUCUGGGUGCCCAUGAGAUACCAGGAGGCGUUGGAUUUGAGGUCUGUAUGCAGUCUAUCAGCACUGGGUGGCCCUGAAACCACAUGUCAACAAGUUUGCCCAAGGUGAACUUAGACCAGCCAAGGACUAAGGACAGACCCUGAGGUGCAACCACCUCCAAGAGAUUGGUGUGAAAAGGCAAACCAGCCAGGAAAACAAGCAGCAGCCAGAGAAAGAACCCCAGAAGACAGUAGUUUCCUGGAGCCAAGUGGAGGGAGCAUGUCAAGAGGUACAAAUGGUCAGCAGAAGAACACCUCAGGUCAUGUGGGGACUGAGCUAUGUCCAGAACAUUUAGGAACAGGGCAGUAUCCCUGGAGUGGUAGGUGGAUAUGAGCCCCUGUAUGAGGGCUGACCUGUGAGCAAGGGUGAACAGGUGGAGACAACCAGUAUGAACAGCUGCACUGAGGGGCAGACCAGAUGAGGCCAAGGUCGGCAGGGAAAUAUGGGGUCAGAGGAGGGUAUCUUUUAUGUUAUGCUUUGAAAGCGGGGGUGGGGGGUCUUGAGCAUGUUUGCUGCUUAUAAGAUCAAGGAGAAGCAAAAUUGAAGAUAGAAGCCCAAAAGGAUAAUCAGAGGUCUGCCCUGAUCAAGGCAGGCCUGCACCAAGAACAACCGGCAGAGGAUCCUCACCUCCCUCCUGCGUGCAGGCCCCUUUCCUCUCCAGUACUCACCUUUGACGCUUGAUCAAAAACAUCGUUCCCCCACUCAGUCUUUAAGGCUCAGCCAGUCACCUCCACAGCCACCCCUUCCUUGAUUCCCCCAGAUAGGAGGCAGCCUCAGUGGUCUACGUACAGAUAGCACUGAGGGCAAACCUCUGGAACUCAGGACACCUGAUCAUCUGCCUGGGGAGUAUCUGGGGCACUCGGAUUACCCCAAGAUCCCCAGAGCCUAAGCUACUCCAGACACAUUGCAAGGAGGAAGGGGGCCAAAAAAUUGGAUGGAUGGAUGGGAUAAGCAGCUGUCUGGGUAAACAACACCAAAGUCCCCACAGCUGAGCAUAGCCCAGUGGUUCUCAACACUGGUCUCCAGACAUUGUCAACAGUCAUGACCUGGGAGGAAAUACUGCUGGCAUGCAGUGGGUGGAUGACCUGCAUGCUCCUGAAAUCCUGCAAUACACAGAACUCCAACAACCAAAAAUUAUCAGGUCUGAAAUGUCAGCAGUGCUGAGGUUGAAAGACCCUGGUGUAGCCCAAUCAACAGAGAAUAGUCCUGUGGGGCCCCACUGUGUAGGGAAGGGGGUGCCACAGCCAGGCCUACAGGUGGGAGUUGAAGAACGAAGGCCAGGGGCAAUAGUGACAACACUAUUGCUGCAGUAUCACUACAGAAAGGUGUCUUCUCUGAACUGCACAGACUCUGAGGGCCAGAUCUGCCUGGAAUGGAGCCUUACCUGGACCACCUGAUGUUUACACUUUCUCCUGUCACCACGCACAGCAGCCUGGCCGUGUCACCCUCUGGCACCAGCAUAGUAGAGGGCAGCUCUGUGAUGGCCAGCUCCCCUAGGCCAAGGAGGAGGCACUGUCAGCCACCACACCAGUCCUCCCCCACCUGUGCCACCUGACCUCAGGACUGCCACCUCACCCAGAACUCUGAGCUGGACCCAUCUCUGGUCUCGGUCCUGCCCGUUGAAAGCAACACAGGCAUAGAAGCCACCAUCUUCCACAGCCACGUCGCUGAUGACCAGAGAGCCAUCAGGCUGCAGCAGGUGUCUAGGCACAAAGCACAGUCAGGUAGCUCCAUCCCAAGGGGGCUGGCAAGAAGUGGGGGCAGGGCAGGGUCUUCCUUUCCCCGGUAAGGGGCUGAGUGGCCACCACUGUUCAGGGGGUGGAGGGGGUCUGAGCAAAGGGGCAUCUAACCUUAGGCCCUGAGGUCCUCCAGCUGCUGGCUCUCUCAUUUACCUGAAGGUGCCUGACUUUUAAGCCUGACAAUAAACCAUUUCAAGUCUCCAAAUACAAAAAUAAUUCUAGUUUGGGUUUCUAGUAUUUGCUCUACUCAUUCAGUAGACUCAAAGCUUCUGCCACUUA